AGUACCCGGAGUCACCGGAGGGAAACUUUUAAUAUUAAUGCCUUGAGGAUAUAAACGAUACUCAAUAUCAAGCUCUCUACAAGCUUUCCCAACUUCCUCUAGUAAUUGACUUCUCCUUAUAAACCUCUCUCCCAUGUCUUGAAAAUUCAUUCUGUGUGUCAACCACACCGCAAUCUUCACGCUUUUCAAGUCAUCCAUGUUUAGGAACACAAUCAUAGGUGCCGGAUACCAAUGAUCCUUCUUGAAGUCUAUAUAACUGCAUGAAAAAAAAACAAAUGAAAGUUUGGCCUUGAGACUUUAAAGUUUUACGAAUUAGUAUAUAGACAUAGCCUCCUAAAUUGUUAAGAAAAUAUAUAUAUAAUUUUUUUUUACUAAAAUGUCUAUAGCCUCAAGAUCUUAGCGUCUCAAUGUAACUAACCUGAUUAUUCUCUGUUUAAUAGCAGCUAUCUUUUCUGGAGGAGUUGCUAUGUGAACAGAGAAUUCAACCGCAUCUCCCAUAUCAGGACUUCGGAAGUAGUUAGCUAUAGGUUUUGUCCCAAGAACACUAUUCGGGUAUAUGAUCUUUUGAUUAUCGUACCGCAAGAAAACAGUUGUCAAUAUGUUCAUUUCUUCCACAACCAACUGGUAAAAGAAACAACAAGAUUAGAACCAUGUCACACUAUUUAAAUAAGUCCAGCAGAUUAUUGUAUUAGGAGGGAACAAACCUGAACACCGUCAAUUUCGCAGCGGUCACCAACAUCAAAUGGGUGCAUAACGAAAAGGAAAAUGAUGGCUUCAAAGAUGGUUUUGCAUGAGUUUCCGAAUAUAAAGGCUACUAGAAGUAGCUGAGAGCUUAAGACUAGCAAGAACUUGGUUGUGGCGAUUCCUAGUAUAAGAAGCCAAAUGAUAAUGAUUAUAAUGCUAAUCAACACAUUGAUUAUGCGGUGAAGCCUGUUCACUGCUGUCUUUGUGUCGUUUAAGGUCAAUGCCAGAGCCCUCCGUUCUCUAAAUGCCUUAACCUGUGAAAAAAACGUCAAGAUAACUCUGUUUUGCAUAUGAAAAGAAUCUUGACAUAUAUAUCUAAUUUAGAACUUACCACCCAAUUCUUGAGGCAAGACUUGCUGAUCCUAAGGCUCUCUGAAGCUCCUUCAAAGAGAGCCAUGGCUCUUUCAGACUCCUCUUCAGACAGAAACCGCAAGAAGUCUUCCAUAUGUAUGUACCUAAAACCCGAUAAAAAGAAACUCAAGAUUUAAGCAUAAACCAUACUAAAAUUUUGGAGCUGUAGAUAAUUUAGUAAGAAUUUAAAUAAAUUUUGUUUUAUACAUUUUGAAAAAAUGUUUAUGGAUAUUAACUUUUAAAACAUUGAAGUGAUACGUCAAUGUUUCACUUGUCUAUGCACACUAAUGAUCAACUUCAAGAUAUAUAUACCUGGAACCAGGCUCAGUGACAUUGUGAAAAAUCUUCUUAGCUGCAAUCUUUGCUUCGCACUCGCUUCUUAUCUGCGUAGCAUGCUCACUCUCCUCAACUGUGUCCUGCAUAUGUUCAUCCAAGGUAGAAAGAGCGCCUUUUCGUAUUAUAUUCAUCAACUUGGUCAUGUUCCAAGCAGACACAUUGUCUGUAUUCAUCCUCUGCAACUGAUCAAUCCUUAUCCCUUCACCAUCUCCUUCUUUGUCAGAACCAACCCGAGACAGUCUCUGACCUUUCCCGGCUUUCAUAAAACUCUUAACCGUCGCUUUUAGAGCUGGAGGCAACUUAGCUCCAGCCAGUUUCUCUAAACUCUUAACAUCAUCCGUUACUUUCUGCUCUUCUUCCUCCAUUCUCUGAAUCUCCAUCAAAGGAGGUCCAGAGAGGGUUUCAAUCACGUACUGAGUGAACAAUGAUUCUUGAAUCCUAUCAAAGUAAGUGCUCAUGUGGAAAGAUGAAGCAAGAACCUUGACCAGAAGUGUCUUAAUCAACCAAAUGAUCACAGCAACAAGGAGACAAACCAACACUCUCGUCACGUACCUAAUGGCAGUAGUCCGGGUCUCUCUUUCCACUUUCUUAUCGAACAAGAAGUGCCACGCAAGCAACACGAGCCCUAACCACAAGGUGUUUUGAACAGACUUUCUAACUCCGUAGACGAAAUACAAAACCCUCUUUCUCAAAACGAAGUUCUUCUCGGCCGAGAAGACGAGGAUCCUCACUAUCCAGCUCGAGACUAGUCUCCCGCAAAUCAACACCAAAACCGUCACUUCCCAUUUCCACAGGUCCAGCUUCCACCAUGUCUUGCGCCGCAAGCUAUGUACCGUUAAGCUACAGACCAAACUGGUGACUAUCAGAACUAAACUUAUCCAUUCGAGCAAAACCCAAAUGCUGAGUUUGUCUCUUUUGAACACGUCCGGUAAGUCCUCGUCCAGAAACGGAUCUUCCUCCUCGUCUUCCUCCAGCGUCCCGGUUCGAGAUGGAGUUCCCGGUUUAGGGCUUUUUCCGAGAAAACCGGUUUUCCGACCGGAUCUCAUCUCUGUUUUGUCGAUAGCUGGAUGCGUCGGUGUUGGAGGAUCCAUAAGUCUUGACUUCGUCUGGUUCCUCCUCAGUAACGGUUUCUUCACGACCUCUGCUUCGUCUCUGUUGGCCUUGUAGUGACGGCUCUCCUCGUCGCUGCUCCCACCGAGUGAGAUUCUGUUCUGUCUCCUUCUCACCGCGUCGGCUUUUCCUUUCGCCGUGAACGGAGAAGACCUCCAUGUACUAGAACAGUAUCAAAAAUGUCUUGAACCCCAUUUCAAUCACUAUAUACUUAUUCUUGAAUCACAAAUUACUACUUCCAGAGAAUAGAAAACUGUUACCAAACCACUCAUACAUAUAUAUAUACAUACACAAAAAUCAUAUUCUGCUUGCUUACGCGCAAUGAAAAAUCCCUUACUUCCCUUGCUCAACAAGUCUUUACAGUUCAGGCACCGCGUUGAUGCAAACAAGCUGGAGGCAGACGGUCAGAAGUACCCGGAGUCACCGGAGGGAAACUUUUAAUAUUAAUGCCUUGAGGAUAUAAACGAUACUCAAUAUCAAGCUCUCUACAAGCUUUCCCAACUUCCUCUAGUAAUUGACUUCUCCUUAUAAACCUCUCUCCCAUGUCUUGAAAAUUCAUUCUGUGUGUCAACCACACCGCAAUCUUCACGCUUUUCAAGUCAUCCAUGUUUAGGAACACAAUCAUAGGUGCCGGAUACCAAUGAU
rnacentral:lncRNA from 1 species